rnacentral:rRNA from 1 species
AUACGGAGGAUGCGAGCGUUAUCCGGAUUUAUUGGGUUUAAAGGGAGCGUAGGUGGGAUAUUAAGUCAGCUGUGAAAGUUUGGGGCUCAACCUUAAAAUUGCAGUUGAUACUGGUUUCCUUGAGUACGGUACAGGUGGGCGGAAUUCGUGGUGUAGCGGUGAAAUGCUUAGAUAUCACGAAGAACUCCGAUCGCGAAGGCAGCUCACCGGGCCGGAACUGACACUGAUGCUCGAAAGUGCGGGUAUCAAACAGGAUUAGAUACCCUGGUAGUCCGCACAGUAAACGACGAAUACUCGCUGUUUGCGAUACACUGUAAGCGGCCAAGCGAAAGCGUUAAGUAUUCCACCUGGGGAGUACGCCGGCAACGGUGAAACUCAAAGGAAUUGACGGGG